rfam:Clostridium paraputrificum strain 373-A1 CP373A1_23, whole genome shotgun sequence.
AUAUUCGUAAAGCGAAUAACUCAUAUAAUGUGUCAAUAAGGGUCACAGUUUCUACCAGAUACCGUAAAUAUCUGACUAUGAGUGGACUGAAUGUAUAU